AUUUUCCUUUUAUAAAAGAAUAUUCUUAAGAAGGAAAUGGAUGAUUAUGAACUGUAAGCUUGGAUUCAACCCUGUUCUUGAGCUGAUUUCGUGCAGUACAAAAUAAGUUCCCUCGAUACGUUCUCAAAGCUCAGGAAAGUGCAGUUCAUACCGCUGAGACUUACUGCCAUUCGCUUCCUCCGUUGCUUUUGCUUGGGUGAGACUCCAAUCCAUCUUAAGUAUUUAAGGAGACUCUCAUCCUUGUGGUUGUUUCUGUCUGCAACUUCACAAUUGCUGUGAACAUCUAACUCUUCUUUUCUCCCUUACUUUCAAACUUAAGGUGACAGCACACUUCGAACAACAAAUCUGGAUACAAACACAUUAUGAAUUCAAGCAGUCCCCUUUAAUUAUCCUAUCUACCCCAUAAAGGGUAGGAGGAGCAAAAGCAGACCAAGAGAACAAACACUGACUGCAUCUAUGUAUGAUGAAUACACAUUGCUCCUGUUCAGCCUCAUACUUCUAGGAUGGCAUCCAGAUUUGACCUGCAAGAUUACUUUCUGUAGACUACCCAGUUGACUUUGAAUAUAGGUUUUCAUGAUCAAUUUACCUGUAGCUACCAAUUAUCUGUAUUAGGUAUAUGACCUAAAUAGAUUAUAAAUGAAUGAACUUAUCCAUAUUCACCAUCAAUAUUAUUUUUAGCUGCCAUAGAAUUGCAUUUUAAAGGUUAAGGUUUUCUUUUGAUUGCCUGGAGAGUAUUGCACGAGAAGUAAUUCUUGCUACCAUGCCUGAUGUGAGACCCAUUUUAGUAACUUUGGAGCGCAAAUAUAUUAGAGGCUUCUGUAUGAGAGCAAAAGAUUCUUCAAGAAGGUCAUAUAGGGGCCAGCCUGGUGGCAUAGUGGUUAAGUUUGCGUGCUCCACUUUGGUGGCAUGCGGAUUCCCGGUUUGGAUCUUGGGAGCCAACCUACUGCACUGCUUAUAAAACCAUGCUGAAGUGGCAUCCCACACAGAAGAACUAGAAGGAUGUACAACUAGAAUAUACAACUAGGUGCUGUGGCUUUGGGGAGAACAAAAAAGAGGAAGAUAGACAACAGAUGUUAGCUCAGGGCCAAUCUCCCUCACCAAAAAGCAUACCUUAAAAAAAAAAGAAACUCAUAUAAAUAAAUGUCAUAGAGUAUGAGAAUGAAAAGAUUUG
rnacentral:lncRNA from 1 species